rnacentral:rRNA from 1 species
GACGAACGCUGGCGGCGUGCUUAACACAUGCAAGUCGAACGGAAAGGCCAUGAUUUUGCGGGGUGCUCGAGUGCCGAACGGGUGUGAAAAACGUGAGUAUCAUCCCCUUGUAUUAGGGAUAUCUCCAGGAAACAGGGGAUAUAACCGGAUAGGAGAUCUUGAUGCAUGGUGGGGGUUGGAAAGUUUCGGCGGUUGGGGAUGGACUAGAGGCUUAUCAGCUUGUUGGUGGGGUAGGGGCUUACCAAGGUUUUGAAGGGUAGGCGGCCUGUGAGGGUGACCGGCGACAUGGGGACUGAGGGACGGCGCAGACUCGUACGGGAGGCAGCAGUGGGGAAUAUUGCACAAUGGGCGGAAGCCAGAUGCAGCAACGCCGCGUGCGGGAUGACGUCCUACGGGGUGUAAACCGCUUUCGCCUGUGACGAAGCGUGAGUGACGGUAAUGGGUAAAGAAGCACCGGCUAACUACGUG